CCUACGGGUGGCUGCAGUGAGGAAUUUUGCGCAAUGGGGGAAACCCUGACGCAGCGACGCCGCGUGGAGGAUGAAGUAUCUCGGUAUGUAAACUCCUGUCAGUGGGGAUGAUGAUGACAGUACCCACAGAGGAAGCACCGGCUAACUCCGUGCCAGCAGCCGCGGUAAGACGGAGGGUGCAAGCGUUGUUCGGAAUUACUGGGCGUAAAGCGUACGUAGGCGGUGGAUUAAGUCGAAUGUUAAAGCCUGGGGCUCAACCCCAGAGAUGCAUUCGA
rnacentral:rRNA from 1 species